rnacentral:rRNA from 1 species
AUGAACGCCGGCGGCGUGCCUAAUACACGCAAGUCGAGCGAACGGACGAGAAGCUUGCUUCUCUGAUGUUAGCGGCGGACGGGUGAGUAACACGUGGAUAACCUACCUAUAAGACUGGGAUAACUUCGGGAAACCGGAGCUAAUACCGGAUAAUAUUUUGAACCGCAUGGUUCAAAAGUGAAAGACGGUCUUGCUGUCACUUAUAGAUGGAUCCGCGCUGCAUUAGCUAGUUGGUAAGGUAACGGCUUACCAAGGCAACGAUGCAUAGCCGACCUGAGAGGGUGAUCGGCCACACUGGAACUGAGACACGGUCCAGACUCCUACGGGAGGCAGCAGUAGGGAAUCUUCCGCAAUGGGCGAAAGCCUGACGGAGCAACGCCGCGUGAGUGAUGAAGGUCUUCGGAUCGUAAAACUCUGUUAUUAGGGAAGAACAUAUGUGUAAGUAACUGUGCACAUCUUGACGGUACCUAAUCAGAAAGCCACGGCUAACUACGUG